CAGUAGCCACGGUAAUACGAAGGGGGCUAGCGUUGCUCGGAAUUACUGGGCGUAAAGCGCACGUAGGCGGCUUCUUAAGUCGGUGGUGAAAUCCUGGAGCUCAACUCCAGAACUGGCUUCGAUACUGGGAAGCUCGAGUUCGGGAGAGGUGAGUGGAACUGCGAGUGUAGAGGUGAAAUUCGUAGAUAUUCGCAAGAACACCAGUGGCGAAGGCGGCUCACUGGCCCGAUACUGACGCUGAGGUGCGAAAGCGUGGGGAGCAAACAGGAUUAGAUACCCCAGUAGUCCCUGUCUCUUAUAC
rnacentral:rRNA from 1 species